AUUUUAGUGCCUUCUUAUCAGGGAAGAUACAAUCAAGCAGAGCCCAAGACCCGUUCUGCAGUUGGACAAGGAAACUUCCAGAGCCAUCCCCAACCUGGAGAAAGAGGAUUUUUGAAGAAGAUAAUUACUGAGUUUUCAGUAGAUGGAGUUUUUGAACAAGCAGAGCCUAAGACCCAUUCUGCAGUGGGACGAGGAAACUUCCAGGGCCAUCCGCAACCUAGAGAAAGGGGAAAUUUUGGAAGAAGCUAAAUGCGAGUUUUCAGUAGAUAGAGCUUUUGAACAAGCAGAACCUGAGACUCGUGCUGCAGUCGGACAAGGAAACUUCCAGAGCCAUCCCCAACCUAAGACCCAUUCUGCAGUGGGACGAGGAAACAUCCACAUCCCCAACCAUGACAAAGAGGAUAUUUGCAAGAAGCUAGU
rnacentral:lncRNA from 1 species